GGGGAGGGGGAUAGCGGCCCUUGACCCCGAUGCUGACGUGUGCGCGGUGCAGAGCGAGCGUGGGGAGGGGGGAGCGGCGGCUACUCGACGGCGCGCCGAGGUACCCCGGCGGGCAGCCGGGGGGCGCCGGCCGGGAAGGGGCGGAGCCGCGCGGACGUGUCGGGUAAGCCCCCAUACUUAAGCACCUUCUUAGGUCAAGAGUUUUUGAGCACCUCUUAGCCACUACAGGGCCGCUACAAACCCGACGGCAGACCUGACAAGUCUACGUACCGAAGUUUACCGAGGCCCCUACGACCCAAAAGAGCAGGAGUUAGUUAACUACUUCGUGGCUACGGCGACAUGGGGACCGGUCUGUUCGUCGCCGGUGCCCAUACGUAAAACCCACCACCUAAACCACCCGACAUAUGACGAGACUCUGAUCUUAGAGAACAUACCGGACCAUUAUUGUUCGGAGUCCACUACGAACAACUAGUUAGACUGUCUAAACAUAAAUUCGGGUACGAUAUGCUCGAGAAUAGUCCUCUCCACCUACAGACCCUUUAUCGAGGCAUAAAAUGCCUCAAUGACUUCUUGUGGUCACAAGUUAAACACUUCCUAUCACAUUUCGAAGAAGCGGGAAGACUAGUGAAUUCUUCCCUCGGACCUCACAGUACGUGACCGCCUUAACAAGUAGAACUUUCACCGUGGCAACAACUUAUACUAACCGAGCAAGAUCGAGAUCCCCGACUUCGAUUCUAACUGCAGCAAGGUCCUAGACGGCUCAUACGUGAAGGCAAGUGUUGAAACCUUGUACGAAACUUUCAACUUUCACUUAACUUUUACAAUCUUUCCCCUUCCAAACCAUUCUUCAGGGGUGGAUAAGUCCACCGGUAACACCCUGACCCAAUGAGACCACAACUCGAUCGACGGUGAUAGAGACUCUCUAAUUUCUUGUGUCCCUGACAGUUUCGUUAGUUAAAAGUUUGUUGGUAGACAGGAUUGCGUGGUGGUCCUUUAGCACUUCGACGAGACUUCCAAGAACUCAGAGUUUUAUAAGUUGAAAAGAACCCUAUAAGCCACUUGACGUAGUCUCUCCAAAUACGUAGACUCCUAAGUCCAUCGUACCAACGUCUACGUUUUCUUCGACCACCACCGAUAUUCUUUGAUCAAAACCUUGAAGUUCGGCGAGUUUCUCCGGAGGUCUCGGUCCAAGACCUCCGACUAGACCAUGAUACCUGCCACCCGAGUGUUAGAGUCUAAGAAGCCGAUGUUGGAGGACUACGGGGUAUGCAAUAAGGAAACUUACCGGCCCCCGUUCACCUCUGUCUCCUUUGGGAAGUUCAUUUCCCGGUGGGGGCUUGUAAACGUUAACCACUAAGUCGUCGAGAUUCUCUGGGUAGUCCUUUUAAAGAGGGUCGGUUGCGUGUCCAACGAAAAGUCGUUCGUCUAAAGCGACCUACCUUAGAGACCCGCCGUUAGUUACUGGCCGGGGAAGACGGCAAGUCCAAAGUUUUGGAACCACUCUACUACUGCGACCCAUCUUUACUACGACGCUAUUGUCGUUUAAAGUAGCUCCCGGACUGGAACCUUCCUGGAUAUCCCGUACGACGAUCCUUCGAGCACAUGACGGAGUCCUACGGGUGACUACUCGUGGCCCACUUCCAACCUUAGUCAACCAAGCGUUUCCCGCGACAGCUAAGCGAACGGAGAGACGUCUGACGUCACCGGUCGCGUGAAAGGGGCGGGUGGUGAGGGUGGUGGCGAGGGGGGUGGCGGCGGCUGCGGCGGUGGUUGGCGACGCGGUACCUAGGGCUGAGGCUCCAGCGGAAGCUGAAGGGCGGGAUGGAGACGGUCAUGUUCUCGCCGGCGCACGUGGCGGGCCCGCCGCUGCGGUAGCGGGGGCGGCCGUGGCUGGGCGAGUGGCCGCAGCAGAGGUUCCUGUAGGUGCGGCCGGGGCGGGCGCGCGCGCAGAUGGAGGGCGGGCUGCGGAGGCGGCGGCGCCGGGGGCCGUCCGAGGGGCAGCAGCAGAUGAAGGUGCCGCCGCCGAAGCACCAGCCGAGGGGCCGGGCGGGGAGGUGGGUGCGGAUGGAGUUGCUGGAGCAGCGGGCGAGGCCGCGGCAGCCGCACAGGCAGAUGAUGGCGGAGCGGGGGCUCGUGCGCGAGGGGCGGCGGAUGCUGCUGCCGACCCGGCGGCACGCGACCCAGGAGCGGCCGCCCCUGCCGCGGCUGGGGACCGACGCGCUGGUGCGGCUGGAGAGGGCGCAGAAGGAGAGGCCGACGUCGCGGCCGCGGUUGUAGCGCGUGUUGUACCGGCAGGCGCGGCGGCGCGGGCCGCGCCACGGCCUCCCGCGGCGGCAGGCCCCGGAGUACCGGCACGUGGGGAUGAAGUGCCCGUUCCUCGGGCACCCGCGGCUCCGCCGCAAGCCGGGGCUGCACGCGCUCAAGUACCUGGCGUGGACCGCGAAGCACAAGGGCCCGAGCGAGCCGGACCUGCUGGGGUUGCACUUGGGCAAGCAGUGGCUGCUCCGCGCGCGGCGGCACCGACCCUAGGGGACGCUCGCGCACGACCACACGCACCGGCUCCUGCUGCAGGACGAGUUCCUCGCGCCGGACACCAUGCGGGCGCUCGAGUUCCGGUCGCCGAUGCGGCCGCUCUAGCUCGACAAGCUCAGGUUCCCGCAGCCGGUGCGGAAGGUCAAGCUGGUCGACCCGAGGCCCCUCCCGCAGUUCGACGUCCUCGCGGACCACCUCAAGUAGUUCUUUACUCGCGGACCACCUACCUAAGCCGUACCUUUAGCCAAAGGACCUUUAUUUUCUAAUUUGAGCCUGUAAACUAAACUAAAAAGCCUAUUAGACAGUUUUCGAACUCUACACUACGCACGCACGUUUCAACUUACUACUACUAAGCAACCACUAAUAUUAUCUCGUAAAAGCUAGAACGAACCAGCUAAACCCGUCUCUACUCAGAGUUCCCCUACACGCCUAGACCUCCGGGACUUGCUCGAAACACCUAGUUAGCGCUUUCUUUCUCUCUCCCCCCUUCUGCUCGAAACGUCUAGACCUCGGAGGACAUGCCCAAUUGCCCACGGUAAGCGAGGUGGGCGAGCUUAGAGUGCGAGGGGACAAAACGAUCAUCGACAGUCUCUUAAGGAAUAAACGGGAACGGGUAAACCUCACACGAAAGGAUAACCGGUCACUGUCCACGGCCAGGGCCGGCUUUAAACCCGGUCAGCCGGGCGUCGGUAAGCUAAUCCGGUGAAGGACCGGCAACUAAA
rnacentral:rRNA from 1 species